GACGAACGCUGGCGGCGUGCCUAAUACAUGCAAGUAGAACGCUGAAGGAGGAGCUUGCUUCUCCGGAUGAGUUGCGAACGGGUGAGUAACGCGUAGGUAACCUGCCUGGUAGCGGGGGAUAACUAUUGGAAACGAUAGCUAAUACCGCAUAAGAGUAGAUGUCGCAUGACAUUUGCUUAAAAGGUGCAACUGCACCACUACCAGAUGGACCUGCGUUGUAUUAGCUAGUUGGUGAGGUAACGGCUCACCAAGGCAACGAUACAUAGCCGACCUGAGAGGGUGAUCGACCACACUGGGACUGAGACACGGCCCAGACUCCUACGGGAGGCAGCAGUAGGGAAUCUUCGGCAAUGGACGGAAGUCUGACCGAGCAACGCCGCGUGAGUGAAGAAGGUUUUCGGAUCGUAAAGCUCUGUUGUAAGAGAAGAACGAGUGUGAGAGUGGAAAGUUCACACUGUGACGGUAUCUUACCAGAAAGGGACGGCUAACUACGUG
rnacentral:rRNA from 1 species